ensembl:lncRNA
GGUGUUGAGUAGGUUUGUUUGUGUCAGGUGAGAGGAUGUUCGUGUAGGUGUUGAGUAGGUUUGUGUCAGGUGAGAGGAUGUUCGUGUAGGUGUUGAGUAGGUUUGUGUCAGGUGAGAGGAUGUUCGUGUAGGUGUUGAGUAGGUUUGUUUGUGUCAGGUGAGAGGAUGUUCGUGUAGGUGUUGAGUAGGUUUGUUUGUGUCAGGUGAGAGGAUGUUUGUGUAGGUGUUGAGUAGGUUUGUUUGUGUCAGGUGAGAGGAUGUUCGUGUAGGUGUUGAGUAGGUUUAUGUCAGGUGAGAGGAUGUUCGUGUAGGUGUUGAGUAGGUUUAUGUCAGGUGAGAGGAUGGGUUCGUGUAGGUGUUGAGUAGGUUUGUGUCAGGUGAGAGGAUGUUCGUGUAGGUGUUGAGUAGGUUUGUGUCAGGUGAGAGGAUGUUCGUGUAGGUGUUGAGUAGGUUUAUGUCAGGUGAGAGGAUGUUCGUGUAGGUGUUGAGUAGGUUUAUGUCAGGUGAGAGGAUGUUCGUGUAGGUGUUGAGUAGGUUUGUGUCAGGUGAGAGGAUGUUCGUGUAGGUGUUGAGUAGGUUUAUGUCAGGUC